GUAGUGGCGGAAGGGUUAGUAAUGCAUGGGUAACGUACCUUUAACAUGGGGAAAACGACUGGAAACGGACGCUAAUACCCGAUGUGGUGCAGGGGGGCAUCCUAUCUGCAUUAAAGAGGGGGACCGCAAGGCCUUUUGGUUAAAGAGCGGCCCAUGGGAUAUCAGCUAGUUGGUGUGGUAAUGGCGCACCAAGGCUAAGACGUCUAGGCGGAUUGAGAGAUUGACCGCCAACACUGGGACUGAGACACUGCCCAGACUCCUACGGGAGGCUGCAGUCGAGAAUCAUUCGCAAUGGGCGAAAGCCUGACGAUGCGACGCCGUGUGAGCGAAGAAGGCCUUCGGGUUGUAAAGCUCUUUCGCUUGGGAACAAGAGACUAUCGCUAAUAACGGUAGGAUUUGAGGGUACCAGGUAAAGAAGCACCGGCUAACUCCGUGCCAGCAGCUGCGGUAAUACGGAGAGUGCGAGCAUUAAUCGGAUUUACUGGGCGUAAAGGGCGCCUAGGCGGGGAUGUGAGUCAGAUGUGAAAUUUCGCGGCUUAACUGCGAACCGGCAUUUGAUACUGCAUCUCUUGAGGAUGGGCGGAGAAAAUGGAAUUCCACAAGUAGCGGUGAAAUGCGUAGAUAUGUGGAGGAACACCUGUGGCGAAGGCGGCUUUCUAGCUUAUUCCUGACGCUGAGGCGCGAAAGCAAGGGGAUCAAACAGGAUUAGAUACCCUGGUAGUCCUUGCCCUAAACUAUGUACACUUGGUGUCGUUGGACUCAACCCCGACGGUGCCGUAGCGAACGCGUUAAGUGUACCGCCUGGGGAGUACAGUCGCAAGGCUGAAACUCAAAAGAAUUGACGGGGACCCGCACAAGCAGUGGAGCAUGUGGUUCAAUUCGAUUCAACGCGAAGAACCUUACCCAGGUUUGACAUGCAGCGGAAGACACCCGAAAAGGUGUCGCCCUUCGGGGCUGCUGCACAGGUGCUGCAUGGCUGUCGUCAGCUCGUGCCGUGAGGUGUUGGGUUAAGUCCCGCAACGAGCGCAACCCUUAUCAUCAGUUGCCAACAGGUAAAGCUGGGAACUCUGAUGAGACUGCCUGGGUUAACCAGGAGGAAGGUGAGGAUGACGUCAAGUCCGCAUGGCCUUUAUGCCUGGGGCUACACACGUGCUACAAUGGCCGGUACAGAAGGAAGCGAAGCCGCGAGGCGGAGCAAAUCCCCAAAACCGGCCCCAGUUCAGAUUGUAGUCUGCAACUCGACUACAUGAAGUUGGAAUUGCUAGUAAUGGCGUGUCAGCAACAGCGCCGUGAAUACGUUCCCGGGUCUUGUACACACCGCCCGUCAAGUCAUGGGAGUUGGUUUUACCCGAAGUCACUGACUCAACCGCAAGGGGAGAGGUGCCUAAGGUGAGGCCGAUGACUGGGACUAAGUC
rnacentral:rRNA from 1 species